GCCCAGACCUGGUAGGUACUUUCUGGCAUAGUACAUAAUUGCACGCACAAGAUUUUCAGGUCUUAUUCCUCUUGUUUCCAUUGUGUGGAUUAGUUUUUCGAACAAACCUACACUGAGGUAAGAUAUGUCUUCAAACCACCAGUCAGAUUCUGUGCUUCUGAUUCUUGCACCAGUGUUUAUUCCAUUCCACAGGAUGCUACCACCUGGGCUCUGUAAGCUACCAUACAUCAUCAUGGGCC
rnacentral:misc_RNA from 1 species